rnacentral:misc_RNA from 1 species
GAUGAAGAACGCAGUGAAACGCGAUAGUUAAUGUGAAUUGCAGAAUUCAGUGAAUCAUCGAAUCUUUGAACGCACAUUGCGCCCCUUGGUAUCCCGAGGGGCAUGCCUGUUCGAGCGUCAUUUCACCACUCAAGCCUGGCUUGGUGUUGGGCGACGUCCCCUUUAGGGACGCGCCUCGAAACGCUCGGCGGCGUGGCACCGGCUUUAAGCGUAGCAGAAUCUUUCGCUUUGGAAGUCGGGGCCCCGCCUGCCGGAAUACCUACUCGUAAGGUUGACCUCGGAUCAGGCAGGGAUACCCGCUGAACUUAAGCAUAUCAAUAAGCGGAGGA